UUUUUCCGUUUGUCUCUGAUGACAAACCGACUGCCAGGAAUGAUUUUUCAUCUAAUAGAAUUGUGAAAAACACCUUGAGGAUUGAUUCUAAACAACGUUUGCCAUGUUUCUGUCAAUAUUAUGGAGCUAAUUUGGAAAAAAGUUUGGCGUUGUAAGUGACUGCAUUUUCGUUUUUUUUUUCCUUAGCCAAACGUGAUGAACAAAACGGAGCUAUUUCUCUUACACAAAUAAUCUUUUUGGAAAAAAUGAACAUUUGCUAUGUAUCUGAGAGUCUCGUCAUUGAAAACAUCCAAAGUUCUUCAAAGGGUAUCAGACGGUUCUGGCUCCUUGGCAUCAGAGUCAGACCAAGGCUCCUGCGGUGGACAAUUGGGUCCGGCGCGUGGAGGAAACCUGGGAGGCCGCCCACGUCCAUCACCGCAGUGAGGCCCCGGUGUUGGCACCAGGGGACAGGGCUGGCUCUUGACCCAAAACCUGCCCCUCCGCCUGCCCUUCCGGAAGCUGGGUCCGCGGUUUGUGGGGCCGUUUAAAGUCCUGAGGAGAGUGAAUAAGGUAUUUUAUAGGUUACAGCUACCCAUACAAUUACCAUAUUAACCCCUCGUUCCAUGUGUCUCUCCUCAG
ensembl:lncRNA